GACGAACGCUGGCGGCGUGCUUAACACAUGCAAGUCGAACGAUGAAGCCGGAGCUUGCUCCGGUGGAUUAGUGGCGAACGGGUGAGUAACACGUGAGCAAUCUGCCCUUGACUUUGGAAUAACUGCGGGAAACUGUAGCUAAUACCGGAUACGACACCUUGGGGCAUCCCAGGGUGUGGAAAGAAUUUCGGUCAAGGAUGAGCUCGCGGCCUAUCAGCUAGUUGGUGAGGUAAUGGCUCACAAAGGCGACGACGGGUAGCCGGCCUGAGAGGGUGACCGGCCACACUGGAACUGAGACACGGUCCAGACUCCUACGGGAGGCAGCAGUGGGGAAUAUUGCACAAUGGGCGAAAGCCUGAUGCAGCAACGCCGCGUGAGGGAUGAAGGCCUUCGGGUUGUAAACCUCUUUUAGCAGGGAAGAAGCGAAAGUGACGGUACCUGCAGAAAAAGCACCGGCUAACUACGUGCCAGCCGCCGCCGUAA
rnacentral:rRNA from 1 species